AGUGAACGCUGGCGGCAUGCCUAACACAUGCAAGUCGAACGGAAACAUAGUAAGCUUUCGCCUCUACCGGUGGCGACGGGCGGAUGGGUGACGCAUACAUCGCAUUCUUCUAUUACGUGGAUGACAACGUAGGGAAACAUACACUAACACCGAAUAUGUUCAACGGGUGAGAUCAGUGGAUCUUCGCACUUUUCCCGUCUGAUUUAGCCGAUUUCGCUUUGCAUGGUUGACUGGGUAGGGUCUACCAAGGCCACGAUCCGUAGCCGUUCUGAGAGGGUGAUCGGCCACACUGGAACUGAGACACGGUCCAGACUCCUACGGGAGGCAGCAGUAGGGAAUCUUGCGCAAUGGGCGCAAGCCUGACGCAGCAAUGCCGCGUGAGUGAAGAAGGUCUUCGGGUUGUAAAGCCCUUUUGUUGGGGAAGAAAAAAUGCGUAUUAAACUCCGCCUGUUCUGACGGUACCCAAUGAGAAAGCCCCGGCUAACUUCGUG
rnacentral:rRNA from 1 species